UACGUAGGGGGCAAGCGUUGUCCGGAUUUAUUGGGCGUAAAGCGCACGCAGGCGGUCUCUUAAGUUUCGAGUGACAGGUGGUGGCUCAACUGCCACAGGCCUCGGAAAACUGGGGGACUUGAGGACGAGAGAGGGAUGCGGAAUUCCAGGUGGAGCGGUGAAAUGCGUAGAGAUCUGGAAGAACACCAAAGGCGAAGGCAGCAUUCUGGCUCGGACCUGACGCUCAUGU
rnacentral:rRNA from 1 species